UCUUCAUUCUGAUUCCUUCUUCUCCUCAACCCUCUUAUUCUUCCUCUAGUACGUGUUAUGGUAUCUAUCAAAGUGUCAUGAUCUAUGAUGUAGAAAGGUCACCGCUACAGACUUGUAAUGUAGUUUUAAAAUAUAGAUUUGCAAGUUUUUUGUUGUAUUUCUUCUCCUUCAUGGGACAUCUGAUCUGAAAAUCAGUGACAUAAUCUCACCAGACUCGAGGUUUCCCUGUUUCAUUGGCCACCUUGAAAACUCAAAGCUGUCUCAAGUGUUCCAUAACCACCUCUUUCCCAUCGUUUUGAACCGGAGCCAACAAUCGCACAGAUUCCAUGAGAUUUGAUUUCAAGAUACCACAAAUCAAUUUUCAAUCGAGAAUAAACUUGGAGAAGGUGGAUUUGGGGCAGUUUAUAAAGUGUAUUUGAGAAGGUGAAAUUGAAAUUGGAUUUGCAAGCAUAGAAUUGGAGACUCCAACUUGACAAACAAAGCUUUAUCUUUUCUCUGUAGGAGACAAAGAAGGAGCCGAUGGACAGCGUUAACAAAACAUUUGUUCUCUUCCUUGUUAACUGCGACGGUUUUUUUUCAUCUGUUUCCUUUUUUUUUGUUUUUGAUUUUAUUUCCUUUUUUCAUUAAUCUUACAUGGCAUAAUGAUUGGUGCUAAGAGUUGAGGUGAAUUAGAGAGUUCACCAAAGGGGUGAACCGACGUUUUGUUCAA